AAUAAUGCUAUCUAAUAAUAUUAUUCAAAUAAUAUGAAUUAUUGAUCUGAUAAAGGAGAUACUGUGCAGUAACAAUUAUUGAAACAACAAUAAUAUAAAAUAUCAACGCAACAAUUAUUGAACCAAUAAAAUAAAAUAUUGAACAGUAAUUACUGUAACAAUUAUUGAGUAGUGCCUUCUUACGUAAGAAUCAAUAAUUCACAAUAC
rnacentral:lncRNA from 1 species